AUGGUGGUGCGGGUCUUCGGGUAUGGGUCCCUGAUCUGGAACCCCGGCUUCGAUUAGAAGAUCCUGAGAUUCAUCAAGGGCUACAAGCGAACGUUUAAUCUCGGUAUUCUUGGUUGCGCCUAA
rnacentral:rRNA from 1 species